rnacentral:lncRNA from 1 species
AGGAGCCGCCCUGGAUGGACAGAGGGACGGAGGGACGCGCAUCCAGCCGGUCGCGUCCAGCUGCCUGCAGCAGUCUCCGACACUCGCUGCUGCCUGCCCGCUGUCCGCCUGCCUGGCAUCUCUCGAUCCCGGUGGGUCCCCACUCGUCCUUCCAUCCCUUGGUUCCUCCUCUUCGAGGGAAGGACUUCCCUGCUCCCCGUGGUGUCUGUGAUUUGGCCUGAGACCCCCUGGGGCGGGAGGGGUGGCUGUGGAGGGAGAGGGCCCAGGGUAAGAAGCCCGGCCGUGGGGUCCCACAGCGCCCCUCUCCGGCUCCCCGCCUUCUCCCUCACCCUCCUUGGCCCAGCUGUGCCAGGAUGGGGGUGGGGGUGGCAGUGGGCACUCUUGGUCUGCAGAGAAGCUACGCUGGACAGAGUGGGGGGGCCUCUCUCUUCCCCUCCCUCUGUCUCUCUCUCCUCCUGUUUCCUCAGUGCUGGGCUUGGGCUUUCUGCUGAGAGGUGCUGGAUGAGGCAGGUCAGCCUUCAGGGGUGUGGGGAAGGGCUGCCAGAUGCCUAGAGCUGUGGGCACAGGGAGGGGAGAAGGGGGGACCUUUGCUGCGACCACCCCCACGCUGGCCAAUGUGAUCCUUUCCAUCCCAUCUCAGGCCCUGGGGGCCCCAGCUUCUUCCAGCAGAGAGGGCAAAGGCCCCAGCCAUCCCUGGAGAGCUGGGAGUUUGGGGGGAGGGGUGCUGGAUGAAGACACCCUGGCCUCUGCCCUUGGCAGAACAGCCACACCCCCAUCCAGUCUGCCCACCCUCACUGAGGUGUGGCAGCCUGUGGACUCCCUGGCCUGCCCUCUCUUCCCAGCAGAGAGGGGCCCACGGUGGAAGUGUGAGGGUAGAGAGCCAGGCUUCCUUGCCUAGGGGAGCCUUUCAGGAGCUGCAGGCUUUUCCUGGGACCCCCCCCCCCCCCCCCCCCCCCCUUUGGGGUCCAUUGUGCUGGGGGCCUUACUGCUCAGGUGGCCCUGACAGGGAAUGACGGCCCCUGGCAGUCAGAUGUAAAGCCCACUGAGGACCCCAACUGGCAGAGCUGCUUCUGUCAGCAGUGACCCUUAACCCCUUAGCUCCCCCAGUCUUCCUCCUGGGGCACUGGGUCUGCUUUGUGGAGGGCUCCGCCCUUGGUUCCCUGCCCUGGGUCUCAGUCGCUUAUCUGUCACCUGGGCAGUGACCCCCCGUGCCUCCCUGCCUGCCUCCCAGAACACACGGAGCUGAGAUGGGGAAAUCUGCUCUUCUGUGGAGCAGGGACUGUGCAAGGGUGAGGGGUGGUGCUGGUCAAGUUGAGCCUCUGUCCCGGCCUCAGUUUCCCAGGUGGGCAUGAGAUUCUCUCCCUGACUGGGGACCAGAUGAGGGGACACUGGGUAAGCGCUUACCACCUGGAGGCACCUGCCUGCUCUAAGCUGUCACUCCCCCAUUUCCUCAGGCCUGGGGCCUUCUCUCAGUGCUUCAGACACUCACUAUCCACCUCCAGGGCCCUGGGGGCUUCAUCCCUACCUGCUGGUAUGUGCUGGGGUUGGUGGGGCAGCACUUUUCAGCAUAAAGAUAUGCAGAGCACUGGUUCCCAUUCUUCGCAGGGAUGGGGCCUGCGAGUCUGCCUUUCUCACCAGCAACUAAGCAGGUAUCUAGAGGAUUGGUUCUAAUUCUUGCUGAACUUUAGAAUCAUGUGUGAAGUUUAAAAAAAAAAAAAAAA